UAGUCCAUGCCAAAAAGUUACAUUAUAUUACAUUGUCCAGAUAUUUUUAAACAAUAUUGCAGUGCUGACUAGUGAGAAACUGUUACAACAUAAAUCAACAAUUUGUGCAACAGUUUGUAUUUUACUGUAUAUCUCUUUUAUUUAACAGUUUGGAAAUCUGUUGACUGCUUUGUACGCAUAAAAAAUUUAACUCAGUCACAGGCACUGGAAAAGAAAAGAGCUGAUUGUUUCACACAACUUUUCGAAAGUAAUGGAAACAUUACAAAUGGAGUAAAAAUUAAAGAGAAACUAGGAGAGAAGAUGUUCAUAUCUUGCGGUCGAAAUAAUUUUCUAUCACUGCACAAAAUAGUGACGAUAUCUCUGGUAGUUUUUUAGCGUGUAUGUUGUGCUAGCCCGUCUGGUCGAUCAAAACAUUGUCGGAAAAAAAGAAAAAUAAAACGUUCCACCUCAUUUCCAAAUGAAGCCGUCGAAAAAAAACAUUGUUAAUCUUAAUUAUAACCAGUUUUAUGUAAAUUUGAUAGUGGUAGAAUAGCAGAGCCUCGAUGAAUUGCGGUGUGGAGAUGGCCAACAACCUGAACAAAACGGCUAUUACAUUGGCUACUACAAAUCCAAUCGAUCCCGUCGCCGCUGAUCAUUAUUCGACUGUGGAUGAAAACAGUAGAUACCAGGAGGUUCGAGACAGGAGAGACUCGGAAGAAUCGUUCGGCGUCGUGACAGUUCGCCGGGAAAACAACGGCAAUCCUUCAUGCACCCAAAUUUUCCAACAAAGUGGAUUAUUAACUGUCCGACACCCUGUUCGCAGACCGAGCAUAAAUGGAUAGGGCUUAUCUUUGAGGCUUAGCUCUGUCUCGAGAACGAAAAUCACCGGCAGAAGGCCCACCGAAGCAGGAGUAUAAUGAGUGCAUUGGCAUAAUUAGAAGAAAAAAUUACACUAGUUAUUUUAAUUUUUAAAUUUCCGUUACAACAUAAAAUUUGUAGUUGAUUGUAAUACAUUGUAUCCCAUUACAUUUUUUAUAUAAUUUAUACACAAUUCAACAAUAAAUACGUGUUUUUCAAUAUAUUCUUAUUGUACAAGC